rnacentral:rRNA from 1 species
UACGAACUGUGCAAACGUUUAUUCGGAAUCACUGGGCUUACAGGGUGCGUAGGCGGCUUGUCAAGUAGGGUGUGAAAGCCCCCGGCUCAACCGGGGAAUUGCGCCCUAAACUGGCGAGCUGGAGUGAGAUAGGGGGUGUGUGGAACUUCCGGUGGAGCGGUGAAAUGUGUUGAUAUCGGAAGGAACGCCGGUGGCGAAAGCGACACACUGGAUCUUGUCUGACGCUGAGGCACGAAAGCCAGGGGAGCGAACGGG